CGCUUUUUUGCUAUGCGCAGAAUCAACGAUUCGAACCUGCAGCAGGUUCGGGUCGAACGAAGUGCGACAACGGAGCAGUUUACGGAGAUGACCCGAAGGGCGAGCGUAGCGAGUCAUCCUGCACGCCCCACCA
rnacentral:sRNA from 1 species